rnacentral:rRNA from 1 species
GUGGGGAAUUUUGGACAAUGGGCGCAAGCCUGAUCCAGCAAUGCCGCGUGCAGGAAGAAGGCCUUCGGGUUGUAAACUGCUUUUGUACGGAACGAAACGGUCCUGGUUAAUACCCGGGGCUAAUGACGGUACCGUAAGAAUAAGCACCGGCUAACUACGUGCCAGCAGCCGCGGUAAUACGUAGGGUGCAAGCGUUAAUCGGAAUUACUGGGCGUAAAGCGUGCGCAGGCGGUGCUGUAAGACAGGCGUGAAAUCCCCGGGCUUAACCUGGGAAUUGCGCUUGUGAGUGGAGUGCUGGAGUGCGGCAGAGGGGGAUGGAAUUCCGCGUGUAGCAGUGAAAUGCGUAGAUAUGCGGAGGAACACCGAUGGCGAAGGCAAUCCCCUGGGCCUGCACUGACGCUCAUGCACGAAAGCGUGGGGAGCAAACAGGAUUAGAUACCCUUGUAGUCC